CCUACGGGAGGCUGCAGUGAGGAAUAUUGGUCAAUGGACGAGAGUCUGAACCAGCCAAGUAGCGUGAAGGAUGCCUGCACUAUGGGUUGUAAACUUCUUUUAUAUGGGAAUAAAAUGUUCCACGUGUGGGACUUUGUAUGUACCAUAUUACUAAGGAACGGCUAACCUCGUGCCAGCAGCCGAGGCAAUACGGAGGAUCCGAGCGUUCUCCGGAUUUCUUGGGGUUAAAGGGAGCGUAGGUGGAUUUUUAAGUACGUUGGCAAAGUUUUCGGCUCAACCUUAAGAUUGCAGUUGAAACUGGCAGUCUUGAGUACAGUAGAGGUGUGCGGAAUUCGUGGUGUAGCGGUGAAAUGCUGAGAUAUCACGAAGAACUCCGAUUGCGAAGGCAGCUCACUGGACUGCAACUGACACUGAGGCUCGAAAGUGUGGGUAUCAAACAGGAUUAGAUACCCCUGUAGUC
rnacentral:rRNA from 1 species